GCCUGCCGGGCUUAUAGCAAGGGAAAACCGAGGUCACAUGACUAGUGUCAAGGUGGCCGCCAUCUUGAUACUACUGGUUGCCAACUGGUGAGCUGUUGGAAAGCAGAAGCCAGAAACAUAACGGCGGUUUCUGGAAACUGUUCUCCUAACCAGAGAAGAACCAGUAGAUGGUAGGUUGCUGGAAAUGGAGCGUCCCGAAUGGAGCUCCCCGGGAAGAAGCUUACUUUUCCCAUUCAAGUUAUUGGUACUACCACCCACCGGGUCUUCCAAACCAGAAAGCAGGAAGGAAUCCUCAUUCCUGAGCUACCAGGCACGAAUCCUGUACGUUCUUCCUACAGAGGAACAGGGGAAUUUGGUGCCAAGUCACAGCCGCUUAAAAUUUCACUGAAAAUUACUUCAUCAGACAGCUUCAGUGGUCUGGAAGAGCUAAAUUGAGCACGGAAGACAAGCUCCAAAAGAUAGGAGGAGAGGAACAUCGUUUGGUUGCUUCUCCUACCCGCCCUUACGUGGGACGGAACUGCAACCCACGCAUAUGCCCUGACUGGAAUGAAGCCAGCGUCCUUGAACUUUGAGGAAAGCUGCUCAAUGAACUGAGCCACACUAGUCAGGGCAGAAAAAUCUUUUUACUAUAAUCAAGAUUUGGAUAUUUUAUUGGAAUGUAGUUUAAGCAAACCAAUUAAGGAAAAUGUGAUUUUUAAAAAAUGCCUUGAAUCCUAAGUUUGUUGAGCACUUGAUUUUGUAACAGGCACUAUUUAAGCCUCCUUACUAUAUUAUCUCCUUGCAACCCUAUGAAGUAUUUCUAAAACCAUAACCUUUUUUAGGGUUGAGGAAAAAGUGAAGUAAGUUGCCUAAGUCAUGGAACUAAUUAGAAGUGGACAGGGAAUUCAAAGCCAACUUUUUUUUAAAGAUUCUUUUUUUAAAAUAUUUUAUUUAUUUUUAGAGAGAGAGAAGGGAAGGAAGAAGAGAGAGAGAGAAACAUCAGUAUGUGGUUGCCUCUUGCGCAUCCUGAACUGGGAAUCUGGCCUGCAACCCAGGCAUGUGCCCUGACUGGGAAUCAAACAGGUGACCCUUUGGGUUCACAGGCCUGCGCUCAAUCCACUGAGUCACACCAGCCAGGGCCAAAGCCAUCUGUCAAAGCUCAGAUUGAUAGAAAUUACUGUAAGGUCUGUUUUAAAACACAAAGAUUACAUUAUGUAUGAUGCUGAAAUUGGGGGAAAAAGAUUAUGCAUCUGUUAAAAGGUUUAUACAUAGUGUGUGGUAACAUGCAAAAAAGUUGUUAGUCCAAAAACUAGAAUAUAAAAUUAUAUAGAAAGAAUGAUUAAAACAAUUAUAUCUUCUUUAAGAAAAAAAAAACCUGGACAUGGGAGGGGGAAGGAACAAGAACCACUAGAGUCUCAUCUUUGGCAUCAUGUACCUAAAGCUUUUAAAAUGUUAGUAAUUGUAUAUCUUAUGAUCAGUUUGAAAGAAAUAAUCUAAAAACUGGAAAAAUAUUUGAGGAGGAGUAUGACCUUAUGUAUACAGUAUGAUCAUAAAUAUAAGCAUGGAUAAAAAUGGGAAAGAAAUAUGCCAAAAUGUAGUGGUUCUCUCUGGGUAGUAGGAUUAUGAUUGAUCUUCUUUAUAAUUUUCUAUGUUCUACAAUUUUUCCAUGUUAUUUUUAUUUAAAUUUUAAAAAAUACUUCCAACUUCCAAACUUACUCUUAUAAGCAUGAUUAUUUUUACAAACACAUUUAAAAAGAUGUUUGAAUGGUGACUUGUAAAGAUACUACCCUAUUAGAAGGCAUGGACACCAUCCUACUGAUAUUUGCCCAUUGCCUACCACAGCAUGCUCAGUAAGUGCUAACUGAAUGAAUCAUCCUCUGUAAUAAUCUGAUGUAGUAUCUUGCCUGUUAUUGAUGUAUAGAGAACAUGAAAGAGAUGUUUCCCUCUGAGAAUGAAUUUUUUAAAAUUAGUGUGUAGUGAUGUGAGGUUCACCCAUCUCAGUGUAAUUUUCCUUCAGUUAUAACCUGUCAACAGACGCUGUGGAAAUUUGGGAAAACUGAAAGUCGGUGAUGUGCCCUAGAAUAAAAAAUGUGUUAAUAGAAGUGAAUGGUCAGUGCAGUUGAGAAAAGAAUUAAAUCAAUAACAUGGAUGAGGGCAUCUCCAGUUUUGUCCAGAAAAGAACAGUUUUCCCACUGAACAUAAAUAUUUGGCUUCUUGGUAGUUUCAUGCCUGUUUUUGACUCCUGCUUUGAAAUUUUUACUGACUACAAUAAUUCUCUAUAAUCUAGAACUGCACUGUUUAAUAUGGUAGUCACAUAUUGCUACUGAGCACUUCAAACGAGUAAUCCAAAUUACGUGCUGGAAGUAUCAAAUAUACACCAGAUUUCAAUGACUUAGUAUGAAAAAACAACUGUAAAAUAACGUGUUUAAUACUAAUUAUAGGUUAAAAUUAUAUAUUAAGUUAAAUAAAAUAUUAUUAAAAUUAGUUGCGCCAUGGCUGGUGUGGGUCGGUGGUUUGAGCACCAGCCUGUGAACCAAGGGGUCACCAGUUCAAUUCCCAGUCAGGGCACUUGCCUGGUUUGUGUGGGCCAGGUCCCCCGUUAGGACAUGUGAGGGGCAACCACACAUUGAUGUUUCUCUCCCUCUCUUUCUCCUUCCCUUCCCCUCUGUAAAAAUAAAUAAAUAAAAUCUUUAAAAAAUUAAAAUAAAAUAAUUUUAUCUUUUUUUUUCUUUUUGCUUUUUUAUGAGGUUACUGUAAAAUGUAAAACCACAUAUGUGGCUUGCAUUAUAUUGAUAUGGGAUGGUGUGGAUAGAUACAAAACCUUGAAGCCCAUUUAUUCACUCUAUUUUGGAGCAGACUCCAAUUCUUUCUAAUCAAAUUCUGGCCCUACCUACUUUAACUCCCUACGGUCUGCCACUGUAUGGAUGUAGGGUAGCCAUUUAAAUGAGAAGGAACCUCUGUUGCACUGCUUAAUUUUCAUUCUGCUUGGUUAAAAUCUUUGUACCUGAAACACGUGAUUUAAUAUACUAUACCAGAGAUAUGUAUUCCUUAUCAAAAAAUCAGAAAAUAGUAAUAAAGCAAAAAGAAUAAAGCAAAAUCACCCAUAAAAUCAUCAUCCUGAGAUAAUCACUACCAACAUUUCGAUGUAUACUUAGUACCCUUCCUGAAAUUUUCAACACAAAAAUACGUAGAGCCACAGGCACACAUUUAUUUAUUUAUUUAUUUAUUUAUUUAUUUAUUUAUUUAUUUAUUUAUUGGGGGGGAUUUAUAUAUUAUUUUCUAAUCUAUUUUUAUCUAAUAAGAUAUGGAAACAUCUCUCCACAUCAAUAAAAAUAUUUUUCCAAUUUCAUUUUCCAAGACUUUACGUAAAAGUUACCUUAGAAAUGAGGGCUGCCCUGGCUGGUGUGGCUCAGUGGAUUGAGUGCCAGCCUUUGAACUGAAAGGUUGUGGGUUCCAUUCCCAGUCAGGGCACGUGACUGGGUUGCAGGCCAGGUCCCCAGUUCGGGGCAUGCAACAGGCAGCCUAUCAAUGUAUCUCUAACACAUUAAUGUUUGUCUCCCUCUUUCUCCCUCCCUUACCCUCUCUCUAAAAAUAAAAUCUUUUUAAAGAAAUGAGGCCUUCACUGACCACUCUACUAUACGUUGAAAUCUAUAUAUACGUAUAUCUUCCAAUCCUUUGCUAAUGAAUUAUUUUUCUUCAUAGCAUUUGUCACCUAACAUGAAAUGUUAUGUUAGUGAAUACUAUGACAUUUAUUAUUUCUCUUACUAGAAUGUAAGUAUCAUGAAGGCAGAAAUCUGUGCCUCUUUGUUCUCUUUAACUCAGUGACUACAACUGUGCUUAGCACACAGAAGAUGCUUAAAUGUUUGCUGCAUGAAUGACUGAAUGAAUAACUGUAUAGCAUUUCAUCUUAUUAGGUUUUUGGUUAAUUUUUAAAAUACUGUUAUUUAUAUUUUGCCUGUAUCCACAUUUAAGGCAGCUUUGAAAGCUUUCAAAGGAUGUGGUCUUAAGUAAAAACACAAAAUAUCUACAAUCCAUCAAUUUGCUAAAAAUGUUAACUAUUACUUAACUUUUAUCAAAAGUGUCAUUUGGGGAAAUAACAUUUACAGAAAACUCUCUGAAGGAUAAACAAUCCAUUUGCCCAUUUAGAUAGUCUAAAAUUUAGCCCUAUGUUAAACUAUAGCAACACAGAGCAUACUUGAGCUAAACUGAGAUGAUCCUGAUAGAACUAGCUUAGCACCUACUGAAGCCCCACUUGGUGUUUCUAUAAGAAAAAAUGGUGCAAAACUCAAUGUAUUUCCUCUCAGGUAUUAUAGAUGGUGGUGUCCUCUAUAUCACUCAGUGUCUUCUCAGAAGAGCCACAAAACUUUCCCCAUCUUGGGAAUUGAUAGGCUUUUAUAAAUCCUAAGAGGUACGUGAAUUUCAUUAUGUUUUCUCAUUUGCUUUAGCUUCCAAGAAGUCAGAACUGAAUUCACCAAACUUUAGUAUUUGGAAAAACUGCUUAUAGAAUUCCUUUCUGUGCAUUAAUUUUUAUUUUGCUUUCAUUUUAUUGUAAUAUUUCAAUUUUUCCCUACUUUAAAAAAUCUGUAUUUUCCUGUUUUGUCUUUUGAAUAUUCUAGAUGUUGCAAAUGCUUUUUGGCAAAUAUCAAUCAAUCAGUCAUUAAACCAAUAAAAGGACGGUGGAGAUAAAUGCAUUAGCUCUUACAGCCUGAUAUUAACUACUAAGAGCAUCUAAAUCCCCUUUCCCCUAGUGCUAUGUUCAUUAAGCCACUCUUGGAUUUUAAGAUGGCCUGCCCUGUAUAUUUUUUUAGAGAAUGGAAACACAACCCUGGAUUCCUCUAAGCAGUAUAUUUCUCACUGCAAUUUAAUGCAUAAACCCAAAUGCCAUUUUAUUGUACUGGAUUAUAGAAAGAGUAGAAAAUUCCUGAUUGUAAUUUAAAAUUAGGAUCACUAUUUUUGUCAGACAUCAUUUUGAUGUGGUCCUAGACUAGAGCUACAGAAGGAUGGGCUGAAUAAUUCCUGUAAUUUCCAUCCAACUUAGCAGUUUGCAUUAAAAUAUCUGAAACCAAAUGUCUCAGGGGACCAAGAAAGGAAGCAGGGACUCCAUUUUUGCCAGACUUAUUUUAAGUCUGAAGUAGGCAGCAGAGUGUAGUGAGGAGAUAUGCUCAUUAUCACACUUCUGAUUAGAGGUGACACCAUGACUGGGGACUUGAUUAUCAUCACACAAAGAUUUUUGGUUCAUUUUCUUUUGGCUCUUCUUUGCGACCAUCCCAAAGUACCACACACACACACCCUCUUAAGGCUUGGGCUGCCUCAGAUGGAGUUCUUGGCUUUGGGCAUUUGGCUGAGGUUGGGGGCAGGGGUAGGAGAACAAUUCUGAGUUUCUUUUUUUAAUCUCAACACCUUCCAAAAUCUCUAUUACUCUUAAUUCUCGCCUUUAACAAGGGCAAGAAGAGAU